AGCACAGAGCAAUCUGUGUGACUGCGUACCUUUUGUAUAAUGGGUCAGCGACUUAUAUUCUGUAGCAAGGUUAACCGAAUAGGGGAGCCGAAGGGAAACCGAGUCUUAACUGGGCGUUAAGUUGCAGGGUAUAGACCCGAAACCCGGUGAUCUAGCCAUGGGCAGGUUGAAGGUUGGGUAACACUAACUGGAGGACCGAACCGACUAAUGUUGAAAAAUUAGCGGAUGACUUGUGGCUGGGGGUGAAAGGCCAAUCAAACCGGGAGAUAGCUGGUUCUCCCCGAAAGCUAUUUAGGUAGCGCCUCGUGAAUUCAUCUCCGGGGGUAGAGCACUGUUUCGGCAAGGGGGUCAUCCCGACUUACCAACCCGAUGCAAACUGCGAAUACCGGAGAAUGUUAUCACGGGAGACACACGGCGGGUGCUAACGUCCGUCGUGAAGAGGGAAACAACCCAGACCGCCAGCUAAGGUCCCAAAGUCAUGGUUAAGUGGGAAACGAUGUGGGAAGGCCCAGACAGCCAGGAUGUUGGCUUAGAAGCAGCCAUCAUUUAAAGAAAGCGUAAUAGCUCACUGGUCGAGUCGGCCUGCGCGGAAGAUGUAACGGGGCUAAACCAUGCACCGAAGCUGCGGCAGCGACGCUUAUGCGUUGUUGGGUA
rnacentral:rRNA from 1 species